GAUGAAGAACGUAGCGAAAUGCGAUAAGUAAUGUGAAUUGCAGAAUUCAGUGAAUCAUCGAAUCUUUGAACGCACAUUGCGCCCGCCAGUAUUCUGGCGGGCAUGCCUGUUCGAGCGUCAUUACAACCCUCAGGCCCCCGGGCCUGGCGUUGGGGAUCGGCGGAGCCCCCCGUGGGCACACGCCGUCCCCCAAAUGCAGUGGCGGCCCCGCCGCAGCUUCCAUCGCGUAGUAGCUAACACCUCGCGACUGGAGAGCGGCGCGGCCACGCCGUAAAACACCCAACUCUUCUGAAGUUGACCUCGAAUCAGGUAGGAAUACCCGCUGAACUUAAGCAUAUCAAUAAGCGGAGGA
rnacentral:misc_RNA from 1 species